rnacentral:rRNA from 1 species
GGAUUAAUUUAUUGGUCGUGCUAUUGUACGUACUGGUAUUAUUGAUUCCUACCUUCUGACGAACCAUGAUGUCAUUAAUUUGGUGUCAUGGGGAAUCAGGACUGUUACUUUGAAAAAAUUAGAGUGUUCAAAGCAGGCUUAUGUCUGAAUACAUUAGCAUGGAAUAAUAGAAUAGGACGG